UUUAAGCUUUGGGCUUUGAUUUUUGGUUUCAAUUUUACUGCUUGUAUUUGCAGGCAAAGCCGCCAAGGCAACAGCGGAUCCUUUUGCAUCUAAGACCUACAAAGAGGAGCAAUUAAUGUCCAUUUAGAAUGGUGAUUGCAUCUCAAGAAUGGACAGUGCGCAAUUAUUAUAAUAAGACUGCUGCAAAAGCAUUGCUCCAACUGAAUCUGUGGGAUGAUCAUAAUUCUGUCAACAAAGUACACCAAGUGAAGUUAAGCCUUCAACCAUGUUUAAAAUGAGUGAUUUUGUUUCUAUAUGCUUCUAGAAUGAUGGAAUGGCAGAGUACUUGUGCUUACUUUGACCUUGCUGCUGGACUUCAUUUGACAGGUGCAUAUUCCCUGCUCCAA